GUAAUGUAUUGCAUGGCCUGGCAGGGGGUGAGUACCAGCAAGGCUUCGGAUGAAAUGAUACUUUUUAACACUGAACAAGAUCCCUGGGCUUAAUUGGUAACAAUUUCAGAACAGAUUAGACAAGGACAGAUGACUCAUGCGAUUUCAUUCCAUAUUGUGCUUCUCCUCGAGUCCCCCACCAUUCCUCUCCCCCCUUCCUCUGCUCACAGAUGUCAUUGCAAGCUGCUCAUCUGUCUAUGCAGUGUGCAUGUACUGAACUCCCUCAGCACUCUCUUGUCACGCAACUUUUAAGGACCAAAGGUGAAGAUUUGCAGCAGACAGAGGGGAAACAAAUCAAGAGCAUGAAUUGGAAAACCAUAAACACACAUAGGAGGGAGCACCCAGGCAGGCAUAACGCAGAAUUAUUAUUUUCACUGAUGUAGACCAGGUAGCCAUGCAGACAUUUUUAACCUUAAAAUGUAACCUUCUCUGCUGGAGGAGCAAGUGUCAGGAAACACCAGCUUAUUUAUUCUCCCCAGCCGGGACAAGAGGGACAGUUGCCCCAGUCCCAAACACCAGUCAGAAGACUUCUGAUGUUUUUAGUGUAGCUCCCCCCCAGUACCUUAACAAGCACUAUAUUUCACUGUUACGGUCAGUUUAUUAAAGGUUUACCAUAAGAAUGGACCUCUAGCUCACUAUGCCAUGAGAACUACAAUAUAAAAUGUGAACAAAUAAAAUUCAAUAUUAAAGGACCACUAUAGGCACCCAGACCACUUCAGCUUAAUGAAGUGGUCUGGGUGCCAGGUCCAUCUAGGAUUAACCCUGCCUGCUCUAAACAUAUGGGUUAAUCCAGCCUCUAGUGGCUGUCUCAUUGACAGCCGCUAGAGGCGCUUCCGUGCUUCUCACUGUGAUUUUCACAGUGAGAAGACACCAGCGUCCAUAGGAAAGCAUUGAGAAUGCUUUCCUAUGGACUGACAGAAUGCGCGCGCGGCUCUUGCCGCGCAUGCGCAUUCAGCCGAUGACGGCGGAAGGAGGAGGAGAGUCCCCAGCGCCGAGGGAGCCUGGCGCUGGAGAAAGGUAAGUGAUUUAACCCCUUCCUCCCCCCUUCAGCUUAGCGGGAGGGGGGUCAUGAGGGUGGGGGGGACCUAUUGAUACUAUAGUGCCAGCAAAACGAGUUUGUUUUCCUGGCACUAUAGUGGUCCUUUAAAAGGACACUAUAGUCACCAAAAUAACUUUGGCUCAAUGAAGCAGUUAUGGUGUAUAGAUCAUGUUCCUGAUGUCUCAUAGCUCAAUUCUCUGCUAUUUAGGAGCUAAGGUUGUUUUGGUGACUAUAGUCGCUGUAGUGGUUCUGUUGACUAUAGUGACCCUUUAAGCUGUAGUGGUUCUGUUGACUGUUGUGUCCCUCUAAAUAAAAAAUAAAAUGUUGGAAAACUUAAUAAAUACAUCUAAACUAUCAGUUACAUUUAGAUUGUAAGCUCGUUUGAGCAUGACUCUCUUCUACUACUAUUCCAGUAUGUCAUACAAGUUAUAUUACAAUUAAAUGAUCAUUUUGUACUGCACUGCAGAGUAUGUUGGAGCUAUAUAAAUAAUUGUAAUUGUUCCCCUUUAUCUAACAGAUAAUAAAAAAGCAGAGGAACUAAACGGGGAAUAGAGCCACAUUUAUCAAGGUAACAUACAAGCAAUUCAGGGACAAAAUUGCAAAGUGGUAAGAUUCUUUAUUUAGUACAUUAUCCAAAAUAGCACCUGUUGUUUAUUUAAGGAAGAGAUUUAUCCUAAAUGGAUGCAAUAUCUGAAACCCAGAAUAUCUAAAGAGUUUGCAAUAUAUUCUACACCCACAGUCUUCUCUACAGUACUUGCAAUGGAUAUCAUAUCCUGAAGUCUCAUCUAAUGAGCGUAUUAUCUAAUAAAUAUCAUAACCACUUCCCUAAAGAGCUUGCGAUCUAUUCUAUAUUGCAAACAUGUUUCUAAAGAACGUUUAAUAUCCCAACUGUUUCAAUAUGUUUAGUAUCUCAGAGACUUUACUAAAAAACUUGACAUUUAUUCUAAGUACCAAAGUCUUCUCUAUAGAACUUGCAACUUUGUUUAGUUCCAAAGGCUUGCAAUUUAUUAAGAUCACAACGUCUCCGGAUAUCGGUUCUGCUGUACAAUUCCUGUAGUUUGUCUGUGAGAAUCGUAUGAGAAAUAUCCAGAGUUUCGUAUCAUUAAACAUUGCGUUGACUGUUCUACCAUAGAUUUAACUCCAAUAAAAUUAUCACGGAACAGUGACAUUUCCAAACCGUCAUUAGAUUUACUUGAAAGAAAUGAAGCAAUAAGUAAUUGCUGGUUUUCGGAGUGUAUCAUUCCUCGAUGGUUUUAGUCCUGGCACGCAAAUGCCUUGUUCGUAAAAGGUCCAAGGGUUUUUUUUAUUUAUAUAUUUUGUAACACCUUAACUGUCAAAGGUUUAUGCAUGACAAUCUGUUGCUUAAUGACUGGGAAUGAUAACUGUGGCUUGUUUCCAUCACACACAUCUCUCAUGCAAGACAAAAGCAAGGUGUAGGAUUUAUGAGUCCAUUUACCUAGAAUUGUGCCUAAAGAAUGUCUUAGGUCUGUGGUCAUGGUUAACCACUGCUGGGAAGAGCUAUUUACAAACAUCAGCAGUGCCACUGUUGGUUGUUUCUGUUUAACGUUGUACUGCAUGAAACUAUGCGCACAGCUUUUAUUAAAGUGUCACUCUAAGCACUAAAACAACUUUAUCUUAAAGGAACACUAUAGGGUUAGGAAUAGAAACAUGUAUUUCUGAACCUAUAGUGUUAAAACACUAGUUAACUACCCGGCUCCUCCUUUCCCUCAUAAAUAAGUAGAAAACUUAAUUCAAGAGCCACACGGAUCUGCCAACACUGGCCCCUCCCCGAUCUACCUCCGUGGCUGAGAUUAUAAAAAUCUAUGUUCUUAGCCAAUUCAAUGGUUUCCCAUGUGCGGCAAAGUGCUAAGCUGGCCAAUCAGCAUCACCUCAUAGCGAUGCAUUGACUCAAUGCAUGUCUGUGGUGAAAGCUUCAUGCAGAGCGUGUAGCACUGAUCCAGGAAGCAUCUCUAGUGGCUGUCUGAGUGACUGCCACUGGAGGUGUCCCUAGGGAACAAUGUAAACACCGCCUCUGAAAAGGCAGUGUUUACAGCAAAAAGCCUGCAGGGACUCACUAUACUCACCAGAACAACUACAUUGUUCUGGGGACACUAUAGUCACUAGAACAACUUUUGUUUAAUUAAGCAGUUUAGUUGUAUAGAUCAUAUCCCUGGCUCAAUUCUCUGCCAUUUAAGAGUUGAUUAUUCAGCUCUAGUCACACCUCCCUGCAUGUGACUUACACAAACUUCCUAAACACUUCCUGUAAAGAGUCAUCUAAUGUUUACAAGUUGUUUUGGUGCCUAUAGAGUCCUUUUAAAUUAUUUUAAGCUUUUCUCUACAACUCUCGGCCUCAGCAAUAACCUUACGGUAACCUGCAAUAAGUAUGAGGCUACCGUGUAUUUAUAACAAUAUAACAAUGAACUAAAACGAUAAAUAGCCAGGGUACAUGUAUAAAUAAAAGUAGUUUUAUCGUUUUAGUUCAUUGUUAUAUUUUAUAUACACUCUAUUCCGAUUUUAAUACUAUCUCUACAAGUUCCUGACAACCAAAGAAAUCCAUAGGUGGGGAUUAUUCCACCAGCGCUGACAUCAAAGAGCAGUUGGUCUGCUCUGUACUUGUAAGUACGUUUUUUUUAUUCUCUUUUACAAUAUACAGUUAUACAGAGAGCACUAUUUGGCUGUUUCUGUUUCCUUUGAGUUUUGGAUACCCUGACGAACCCAUCAUAAAUCCCAUAAGCGGGGAUUAUACCGCUGUGUGCGCUUUACCCUAGAGCUGGACAGAAGCUCUGGAAAUUGUGAGUUCGUUAUCAUUAAUCAAUUUUUACUUCAUUUGAACCGUACAUUCUGCACCAUCGUUUGUUCUCUCCUUUUAUCUUUUAUAUAUUACCUGAAGAUCGCGUUCCUGUACCUAAAGACGACAGAGAGGAUACCUUUUUAGGUCGGACUUUUUAUCUUCAAUAACUAUUGAUACUGGACACUGUUUAUUCUGGCGCAGCCCUCCUUUUAUAUUUUGCUUUUAUCCUGUAUUUUAGGGUUUUGGGGGGAUUCCCUUAUUGGGUUGCUGCCUUACAGGUUGUCUGGCGCUGUCUCUUUUCCUUUAUUUAUUUUAGGAUGGAAGUAAUAGCUACAUUAAAUCUAGAUUGUAUUUAUUCCUUGCACUUAUACCUUAUUAGUCGUUAUGAGCCUUUUUGUUUGCAGAGGAGACCUGUAUUAGUUUGUUAUGAAUGUAUACACAGACUGGCAUCUGUACAAAUUAGACGAUGCAGCAAAGGAAAAUAUAAGUGCAGAUCAGAGAAUGAUGGGAAUUGUAGUACAAUGACUUGAGGGGAAAGAUAACUAUUUUCCAUUUGACAGGUCUUCCUCUUGGUAGUACUUUCAGAAUGUUAAGUGAUUUCUGAUGUGCAACUAUGAUGCCUGAUGGCAAACACACAAACUAAAUUUACUGUAAGAAAAAAAGUGGAGCAAAGGGAUUCUAUAGUGUUAGGAAUAACAUCUCUGACGAUGGGGGGCUCUUAUGUAUUAGGCUCUCCUACCUUAAUGCUUUCCUAUGGGGAUUUCACUGACGCUGAACAUGAGGACGAUCAAUAUUAUUUAGGUGAUCUGGAGUUUGGUAAACAACCACAAGCGCCUCUAGUGGCUGUCUGUUUCUAUAAAACUGCAAUGUUUUACAUUGCAGGACAUAGGGGAACAGGGACACUGCACCUAGACCACUUCAAUAAGAUGAUGUGGUCUGGGUGACUAUAGUGUCCCUUUAAUUAAGGACUGAAAAGUUAUUCAAUAUGUUUUUUUUAAUUUAUUUUUUCAGAUUGCCUUAAAGGACCAGUCUAGGCACCAUAACAGGCAUCAUAGGAUCCCUUUAAUGGCCAUGAGGUGGUAGCCUAAAACAGUUCCAGAAAAUUGGACAGGCUGACCGGUCGACUUUCGGGGGCCUCUGUGUGUAUACCGAUGAACGCCUCCCCUGGCUUUUAAGAAAUUAGAGCUACCCUUGUUCAGUAGUUUCUUACUCCUGAACGCCAUUCUCCUAGCAGGUCGGGAAGUCGAACGGGCAGGGGUACAAGUUUCAGCUGAGUUCGUGAGCUUGCAUAGUCCAUGUACCGCUGCCUGCGUUCGGGAGAUAACAUGGCCACCAGUCCUGAUAGCACGUGUUUGUAUAUGCGAAUGGUGGCCAUCCAAGGAAGCACUUGAGGUGAUUGCUUGUUUGUGGUUAAGAGCCAGAAGUGGUCGGUGAUUACGAGGUGUUAACAAGGGGGAACACAUAGUCUGUUCAGUAACCGAACAGAAGGGAACAGAUAGCCAACACAAUUAUCAGGUAGUGAUUCCAUCAGAAUACAGGUGGAUAUCAGACGAAACAAAGUACAAAUAAGGGAACACGUACGAGGAGUCCCAUCUCCCAUGACACUUACUAAAACAUGUAACAAUUAGGGUACCUGGAAGAUAUACAUUCAAGGUUAGACGCAUAUUGUGAUUUUUAAUUUAUUUUUAUUCUUUUUUUUUUUUUUAGAAAACAGCACGAUCUUACAUACAUGGCAAGGACUGAAAGUUAAUCAAUAUGUUAUUUUUAUUUUCUCUUAAAUUGCCUUAAAGGACCAGCCAAAGCACCAUAACAACUUGUUUGUAGUGAAGUUGUUAUGGUGCGUGGCGGUCCCAGGUGCCUUCUUGCCAGUCUGCAAAAAAGUCUCCCCCUUGUUUCUCACUCUAUCUGACUCUACCUUCUUCUAAGUGAAAUUGUAAUAAUUCUGCACGCAUAUAGUACACAUGAAUAAGUUAAAGGCACAGAAGCACUACAAAUAGUCCCAGAAUAAAUUUGCACACAGCUGGAUAACAAAGCAUAAAAGCUAAAUCACCCUCGACUUGGCGCAUCUACUGCGCCUUUGAGUAUAAACGAUGCAUGUGCAAUAGACCAGUUCGCUCAGUGUAUGCACAAAUCGUAAAAAUAUGUACAAAGCUCUGAGGUACCAAUGUUUAUCAUUACUGUGCAAUGUAUACAACGUUACUUUUCAUGUUGUUGUUUUUUUCCCCACUGUACUUUAUUGUACAAACUGUGAAUUGACCACCCUGUCUUUUGAUAUGCAUGACUUGAUAAAUAAAAAAUAAAAACAUUUUUUGUUACUUUUAAAUUUUACUUUGUAAAAAAAUGAGAGCAAACUUGUCAUUUUGUACCAAAAAUGUAUAUGUUAUUCCAUAACGGAAUGGUAGCCAUAAAGUGACACACAUCCUGUUACAUUAUCCUGAUCUCUAACUGAAAAUGUUUUUUGCCUGUCUAGCGAUUUUUUUUUACCAUAACAUGGCUUUUCGAUGGCUUUGGUUGAUUACAGAAAUAGAUUAUACACUCGACAAGGGCGAUUCAGCAACUUGCUUGUGUAUUGUUUUGCAAAGAUAUAGUUUAUUCUCUGAAACGAAUGGGCGAGACCUUUUCUUUAAGACAAACAGAGCCCAUAGAUUAGUACUUAUAGAGUUACAAAAGGUAUUAUCACAAGUCUGAAUGUGCUUUCGCUUCGAGACUCUGUGUAAUCUCUCUCUCGCCUGGUUGUAAAGGGAAAGGAGUGGCCUUGUAUUGUUUAUUUAAGGGAGAUGGGAUAACUGUAGAAUAUGUAUUUUUGCUGUAAAUCUUUUUUUUUUUCAGGCCCAGAGCCAAUACAUCAAUAUAUCCAUAAGACAACCAUACUUACUGUCUCGGGUUCGCUAGUCUAUUGCUGUUAUCCUCCACUUGUCCUUAUUCCAGAUGGGCUGAAUAUGGUGAUAGUGCUAUCGUUGUGUAGAGUUUCCCCAAUAUAAUGGACGCAACCAAUCGUAUUGGGUAGAAGAAGCAAUCUGACUUUAUUAGGCCACACUCAGCUUUUUAUACAGUGCCCCUAGCAUGGGGUUUCUAAGACAAAAUCACAGGGGUUUCCUUCCCACAAACUAUUGCGUUUGAGAGAUGAUUGAGCUCCAAUUAAGAUAACUCCAUUAUUUCUCAAAUAGGAAAACGAUUUUUAGGAACCCCACAAAAUAUAUUCCUGAAUAGCCCCAAUCUGAGCUCACAACAUAUCCAAAAAGCACUUAGAUUGGUUCGGUAGAACGUGAGUUAGGUUCAAACAAAUGGUAGCCCAAAACAGUUCCAGAAAAUUGGUCAGGCUGGCCAGUCAACUUUCGGGGGUUCCUGUGCGUACACCGACAAACGCCUCCCCUGGCUUUUAAGAAAUUAAUGCUUCCCUUGUUCGGUAGUUUUUUACUCCCGGACACCGUUGUCCUAGCAGGUCAGGAAGUCGAACAGGUGGGGGUACAAGUUUCAGCGGGGUUCGCGAGCUUGCAUAGCCAAAUCAGAGAUCCAUACCGUCGACGACCAUGUACCGCUGCCUGCGUUCGGGAGACAAGAUGGCUGCCAGUCCCGAUAGCACAUGUGUUCGUAUAUGCAAAUGGCGGCCACCCAGGAAAGCACUCGAGGUGAUUGCUUGUUUGUGGUUAACAGCCAGGGGUGGUCGGUGAUUACGAGGUUUUAACAAGGGGGACCACACAUAGUCUGAUCAAUAACCGAACAGAUGGGAACGGAUAGCCGAACACAAAGGAACAAUUAUCAGGUAGUGAUUCCAUUUGAAUGCAGGGGGUUAUCAGACGAAACAAAGUACAAAAAAGGGAACAUGCAUAAGGAGUCCCAUCUCUUGUGACACUUAAACAUGUAACAACUAGGGCACCUGGAAGAGGUACGUUCAAGGUUAGAAGCAUAUUCUGACAGUAGGUACUCAGGUACACAGUGUGGUGGGGAUUAAAGCAACGCUCGGGGGGUGGGGAGGGAAGGGAGCAAGCCACUAUUGUACAUGCUAUCAGUUAUGUCGCUGUUUGUCCAUGAUUCCCAUAUCUUAUCAAAUUUCCUAACUGUCCUUCGAACUUGUGUGAUCUUGUUUUGAAAGGAAAAUAGUAUAAACUUGACAGGUUUGGCUUAAGAGCAAUCUGCCAUUGAAAAUGAUGUAUAAUCACCCUCAAAACGGAUCUGUCACCAUUUUGGGUAUUUGCAUUACUUGCGAAGACCCCGGCGGUGACCCUGCCGCUCUGGGUCCGGUGGCCAACAGAGCAGGCAAAGGUGAGAUUUACUUACCUGGACCUGUCCCUUGCGAGUGUUGCUUCUCUCCAGCUCCACCUAAUCUCAAGCUUAAUUUAGUCCCUAGUAUAUCUUUUGACUGGGUUGGAAUUUCAAUGCAAUUCCAACACAGUCCAACACAGUUUUUCGUAGAGAUUCUAUCUUUAACAAAUACUAAUUUUGGAGUUGGGAGAGGUGACAGUGCUGUUUUAAGAUUAAAAGAACAUUCUAAGCACCAACACUGUGCUCAAUUUGGAGGUGCAGUAGAUGUUAACAUCAAUACCACAUUGCCAAAUCCUGCUGACCUGUACAAAGGUUUUGGUUGGAUAAUAAAAAAAGAUAAACUUGAUCAUUUUCACACCAGGGCAGAGGGUGUGGGUGCUGAGGAGACCAUUUGCUUUAAAAAAAAAAUACUUCCAAAUGAUUUGCCAAAAAAUGGAGAGACUACACUGAUAGUCUCCUUGCAGCAUAGCUAUGAAAAUGAGCAGUAGUGGUUAAAAUGGUUUUUUUUUUCUGUUCUUUUUUGCAGUGCAUAGUGAACGAUACAAGCAGGUCUGAGGUGCCCCAAAAGCAGUCCACAGGCUUUUCCUCGUGUAACAUGCGGGAUAUAUGUUUAACAGGCACAUUUUUAUAUUUUAAGCAGGCUUUGUUCAAUAGAUCAUUAUACAGGCUAAUAAAUAAUAUAACUUGCAAUAACAGAAGAUUUAUUCUAGAUAUCGAGACGUUGCUAGUCUGGCUUGCAGUGCUAACACUGCUUGGGUGAGCAUUCAUUCUAGCGUGUUGUCGGAUAUAGUGCUAUUGCUAAACAGCAGAAAACAGCACACGAUCUGCGCUAGUGCAUAGGGGCCUUUAGUGUUGGGUAAGCGGGCUAGGGAGGAAGGCAGAUAGGGUGCCAGUGGCUACCAGGCUAGGAACACGUAGAGACAUAUUAUUUACUCAUAUUUCAGGAGAUACUCCCGUAUGUUUAAAGCUAUUACAAUGCAAUAAAAUGGGAAGCUUCUCUGAACCUGAAACAAAUGAAAGAAAACAACAAAGAUUCAAAACGGUUAUGUCUUAGCGUUAAAUUAUCCAGGCAUGUGCCUUCUAAUGAAAAAAUGCCAAGCAGUGAGUCUGACAUGCCUUAAUGUUUAGUUCCCAUAGGCAGCCCCUCUGUGACCACGGCUUCCCCCGGCGGCAGUCCCAAUGUUUCCCAUCGAUAGGUAUAGUCACCAAAAGUCCCAUGAGUCCUGUCGAUUGACCCUUCUCAGCCGAUGCCCCCACGUGGCAGAAUGUGUGCAAGCCUCCUGGUGAGCUGUCGCAGGGCAUUUCCAGCAGGUGCUUCCAUCGGUGGUGCAGCUGGGAUGCGGCCCGUGGGGCUGGUGAGCGUCGUAGCAGGCUUUGUGAGCAUCGUGAGGGUUUACGCUGUGGUGGUUCAGAGUUGUUAGUGCCGCUGAUUGGUAGGUUGGAUGGGUGUGUCGGUUGGUCCUAUUCUGAGACUUGGGGUCAUGAGCGUUGUUGUCCGAGGGCCCCGGCGCCUUUUCCCGCCAUGUUGAUUCUCGGCUUCAUUUCCAUCAGUAGGCCGCUCAGGAGUUACUAGGUGGGUAUCCACGCCUUUGCUUCUCUCAUCGCUAGCUUGUAGGUCUGUCUCCUGUUUUUGAGCUUCGCCCAGAGAUAGGUGCAUAGCCGGCCAACGAACUCCAGUGUGUGCCUGAGCGGUUUAAUAGGUGUUCGCUGGGUCAUAGGCUGCUUCUGAGCCGCCAUCUUGGCUGGGUUCGGUUUGUCUCGUUUGGCUGGAGGUUUAGUCGCUUGGUUAGGCGGUAAUGUAGGGGUGAUCGCCCCCAGCGAGGACUGGGAUGUCCCCCACCGGUCCAGAGGGCAGGUAGCAGGGCUGUAGUAGACACUUGCUUGUGUGCUCGUCCCGUGCGAGGAGAUUGGCCGCCUCUCCUGGACCUCAGGCUUUGCUCUGGUUUAGGCCGCAUGGCCGAUGGAGAUUUUUCCUCGGUGCACCGGUGCCGGACAGGUACCGUUUCAUUUGUCAUGUUGCUCUGUGUCUAUUCCCGGUCACUUUGUGCCUCCAAUGUAAUAGUGUCACUCGGUUUCAGCUCAUAUUUGCCAUUUGUUGCAAGAGUUCCUAGGACAUGCCACCGGCCAUCUCGGCUGUCAGGCCCCGCCCCCCUUGUUUUGUUUAUUUCAAUAUAGCAUUUAAGUGUGUGUUUUGUGUUUUUAUUCCUAUUAAAUUGUGAAAAAUGGCUUCUUCAGCAAUGGCAUAAGUAGUACAUGAUUAUUAUGUUCACUCUGAUGGCAUAGAAAGGGCAUUUCAUGCAAAUUAACUUAGUUUUUCCCAUAAUCCUCAAGUCUAGAACAAUGAGUUGUGAGAGUCCAUGUUUCAAUUUCUACUUCUAUGUAUUGUAUCACAGGUCUUUAUUAAAGUCAAAGGCAAAUCAACGUUGGGAAAAGUUGCAAAAAAUCCACACGGAAACAAUUUCUUUGAAGGAAUGUAACAUUUAUUUAAUCAAGCUAAAAGCAUAAUUUGACUGAAAGUACUUCUCUGUCUGACCUUCAUCUUCUCUGUGAAAUUAUCCAUUUAACCUGAUCGAGUAAGAGAUCUGUUUUUCUUUUUACAGUUUAUUAUUUUUUUUGUAGCCUUUCUUUCUCUAGGGUCACGGACAUACUGACAUAGACAAAAUUAUUUAUUGGUAAUUCAGAUAUACAAGUGCAAAGCUAGACACCGAUUGAAGGAAACGCAUAGUUGUCAUAGUGAUCAGCAUGCAUCUUGUAUAUACGGACUUUUCCAUGUUUACGUUAAUCAAUGCGUAAUUUUGAUUACAGCCUACGGUGUUCUUGAGGGAGAUAAAAUGUAGUCCCUGGCUCUGCCCCCUUUAAUGACAAGGUACACUGGGCUAAUUAAUACAGGCCACUAAGAAUAAAUAUGUAUCCACCAUAAAAACUAAAUUGUGAGUAUGUUUCCAUGCCUAUUUCCACUCUGUAGUGUGCGUACAUAUGGAAGUUAAGAAGCCAUUUCUCUAUAAAAUAAAUGGAUUCCCUUCGUUCUGCAUUCAGAUAUUUUUGUUCCUGUAUUUUUAGGUCUUCUCGAAGUUGUGGGCUACGUUCCUUCGCUUGUCUCGUUUCCCUGGAAUAACCUGGUAUUCUUACCAGACAGGUUUCUGUCCUUAUCUGUGUGUAUCUGAGUACUUGAAUAACGUUCUACAUAACUUCCCAGAGUAGUGUCAUCACUAUCUCAUCUUUUUUAUAUUUCCUGUUUUUCUAGAGUUCCACAUUCCCAUUCUAGUCUGGUGUCUCAUCCUCAUAAUGUUCCCUUAUUUUCCCCUAGACUGAGCCCCCUAUUCUCUCAUUGGGUAUGGACCAUUUUAUUUUUCUUCUGAUCAACUAGAAUCUGUUCAAUCUUCAAGAUCUGACUUCACCUAACACAGCCAGGGUCUCAACCUCUGUGAAACGAUGGUUGACCUACACAGCCAGGGUCUCAACCUCUGUGAAAUGAUGGUUCACCUACACUGCCAGGGUCUCAACCUCUGUGAAAUGAUGGUUGACCUACACUGCCAGGGUCUCAACCUCUGUGAAACGCUGGUUGACCUACACAGCCAGGGUCUCAACUUCUGUGAAAUGAUGGUUCACCUACACUGCCAGGGUCUCAACAUCUGUGUAACGGUGGUUGAUCUACACUGCCAGGGUCUCAACCGCUGUGAAACGAUAAUUGAUCUACACCGGAUUCCUGUUUGUUCAUCUUCCGAGUCCCAAGAUUAAAAAUUUCACAUCGACAAGCUUGCUCCUAAUGUUUCACCCUUGUUUCACCAUAGACUGAGCCUCAUUUGCUCACCUUGGGUAUGGACCAUUUUAUUUGGCUUCUGUUCCAUCUUCAGGAUAUGACUUCACCUAAGACAGCCAGGGUCUUAACCUCUCUAGAACGAUGAUUGACCUAAACCGGAUUCCUGUUUGUUCAUCUUCUGAAUCCCAAGAUUAUAAAUCUUACAUUAACUUGCUUACCCCUAAUGUAAUCAAAUUACAAUUUACUUCAGUGAUUCUGGGAUACAUUGUUUUUAAGGAGGAGGUUAAAAUUGAAGGAAUGAAAAUAUUAGCCAUUCUGGACAUCAAACGCCUUUAGGCCGUCCCUUUUAUAGUUCAAAACACAUGUUGGUGAAAUGUUUUUGUAUGUUUUCAUCUUAGUACUGCCAAGAUAUGAAAACAAAUGAGCAUAUUGUAACAAUAUGUGAUACAGACAAGCCGUAGGGGAAAAUCGAAUGAGAAAGAUGCCUCAGGAAGUUGUUUAAUACAAAGUAACUUAUUAAUUACCUAAUCACGUAUCUGUGUAACUUGUAAGUUAGACCACUGCUAUCUCUGACAGGAGACAUACAGACAAGGUGGCGGUGGUGCACGGAUAUCACAGAAUCCAUAAACGCGAUACAAUUGAGUCAACGUGAGGCCUAAACUCACUGCCGCCUGUACUGGGGCAAUGUGCAUUGUGAGUUGAACUACAACUACCAUGAUUCUCUAGCCAUCAGUUGCAUUCAAAUGAUUCUAGCAGCUGUAGGCCAUGAACAUCCAG